CGUGAGCCUUCCCCCCACUGGGGCCCUGGGUAAUCAGUCCCACUUCCCCCCCACUAUGACGCCCAUGUGGGCAGAAAUUGGCUGCUAAAACAUUACCUAGGAUCCUCCAAAAUCUUGCUGAGCAAUUGCUGGCGAAGAAGCAACAACCAAACAACAUCAUUUAUCUGUCUCCUUCCAGGUUUUGUUUUUCAACAAGGGACAGAGCGAUAAAAGCUUCACAGCAUAAACAAACAAAAGGGGCCUUAAAUGGUGCACGUUUAGCUCAAGCACAAAAGGACGCAGUUUAACAGGUGAAUCAUUUGCCUGUGUGCUUUUUGAUUAAAUGCGGUUGGUUUAGCCAAGCUCCUUUAACACACAUUGUGUCACAUGAAAUUGAAUCAAUUUAGAAGCAAUUGCCAAAAUAUGCUCAUCUGGGUUUUUGUAGUGGAAUGAUCAACAGGGCGGAAUAUGUUCAGAUCAGUGUGAUGUGUAAUGUGCCUCCCAUGGAACAGUGUGUCCUGUCUAACCAACUGUGUUAACGUGUGAGUGUAUGUGAGUGUGUCGUUGUCUGUGCCUUAAAGAUCUGAGAGCAGAGCUCGAGCUCGGUCCUCUGCAGCCUGUUGCUAGGUUUCUCUGCGCUCCUCCUGGCAGAACAUAAACCAAGCAGAUGCUUUUGUCUCAGGAAACUGUCCAAUUAGUCAGUGACUGUAUCGGGUCCACAUAUAAACAUGAUCUGAAUUCUGUUUUUAAAUGCAAAGAAUAGAAACCACGUGUUUAACAUCUUCAUCUUUAUUAUUAGUCUUCUCUUACAAUUUUGAUUCGGCUUUGUCAGUAGGUAACUCAUUAAUAGGAGGUUCGGUUUAUGUCAAAAUAGUUGUAUGUUUACGUAUUUUCAGAUUUUAUCAUAGAUAUUGGUGUUUCCAUCUCUCUCUGUCUCAUGCCCUUACCUACUGUUAAACAUGGAUUGGUGUCUGCUGUUUCUGUUUUUCAGGUGCUGUGGACAAAAAACAGAAGCCAUGUAAAUAAAAUAAAAUAAACAUCACCAACAGCGAUAGUGAGAUAUCAUAACACCAA